AAAAUCUUGAGGGGGGCCCUAUCCAGAAUUGUUUGGAAUACACUAUUCUACAUGUGUACCACUUUUGGUGCUUUUAUGCAAAUUUGAACAAUUGAUCUGAAAUAUCAGUCUAUGCUGCUGCACUACAAGGGCUAAGUCGGUUUCA